rnacentral:tRNA from 1 species
UUUAAGUAAAGCAUUUAUUGCAUUUAACUGUUAAUUAAAAGAAACUACUUUAUAGUUACUUAAAU